AGAAUACUCCCUCCGUCCGAAAAAGCUUGUCCUUCAAAUGGAUGUAUCUAGCACCAAGUUAGUGCUAGAUACAUCCAUUUGAUAAACAAGCUUGGGACAAGUUUUUUCGGAUGGAGGGAGUAUUUU
rnacentral:pre_miRNA from 1 species